rnacentral:lncRNA from 1 species
GCGCACUCCCCACCCGCGGCCGCACGACGGCGCAGCCCGCUUAGCGCUGGAGCUGGACACCUGCGGACCCUGCAAGCCGGAGAGCCCACGUUCCCACGCGGGACCCCGGUCCCUUAAUCUGAGACGCCCAUGCCCCCCCCUCCCCACACCCCGCGUCCCUUCCACUCUGCAGGCGCCGCAGAAGCCUGGGGUCCCUCCUAUGUCCGCGGGGCCUCUACCCACCACUGGGCACCGCCGCCCCCGCCGGACCCCCGAGCCGCGCGGGGCCCCCUGGGCCCUCGCACCCUCCCUCCGGGGCUCACCCGCAGCUCCCUCGCCGCGUGGACCCGGAAGCCAGGGAAGGUUUCCCACGAGGGGCUGGAGGCCGGGGAAGGACGAGCCGGGAGGAGUAGGCGGGGAUGCACAUGCGCAGAGGGAGGGAGCGGCGCGGCUGCGGCGGAGAGCUGGAGCUCUCUGCUCCUGGCAGCUUGGGCUGGGAAAGUGCCCGUAUCCUCCUUAGGAGCGACGUCUCACUCCUAAGUUGUAAAAGCUAGUGGUAGUAGCCAGCGAACAGGGUUUUAGUGAAGCUUGGAGGCAUUUGCGUUGUUAAAGCCCUUAGGAUGUUGCCUAAAUUGUUCAGUAUCUCUCUCAAGAUUCCCUUUCCCGAUAUACACCUGCCCACUCCUCGAGAAAUCAGCUGGAGCGUAGCUGCCGAGUCUGUUGAGUUCAGAGCUUAUCAUCUGAGAUAUUCACUUCUGCCUGGAGCCAGCAUUCUGUCCGUGCCCCCGACGCCUGCAGCAAAGCAGUGCGCCUUCUAGACACAAGCCAAGAGAAGGAAAGGUGUGCAUGGAUUUCAGUUAUAAACGUGGGAUCUGUGACCAGCAUGGUUAU